rnacentral:lncRNA from 1 species
UGAUGCAUCAUCUUGCAAAAAUCAUAACUCAUCCAUUUGUGAUCCAAAUUUCAUGAAACGUUUUGCAUUAUGCUCUGCUUGAUCUCUACUUUUUUAUCAUGAUUUUUCCUGAUUUUUUUGGAUGAUCGAAUUUUAAAUGGUAUUAGGGUUUUGUUCAUGUGCUCAUAUUUUGUACAUUUUGCCAAAUCAUUUAUGAAAUAAUGAUGCAUUAUCCAAUGGCCUUGAAAUUUUU